UUAAAUUUUGUUUUCUAUCAGACACAAGCUAAACAGCAUAGAUUCGACGCCCAGAGGCGCCGAAGCACUUCUCACUUCCACAUGUUUGAGGAUUAAGGACCCGAAAUGGAUCCAAAUCUUAUUAAUGAUCCCUCCGCAGGUUCACCUACGGAGA
rnacentral:misc_RNA from 1 species